rnacentral:rRNA from 1 species
UAAAGGAAUUGGCGGGGGAGCACUACAAGGGGUGCGGCGUGCGGUUUAAUCUAAUUCAACACAGAGAAUCUCACCAGGAGCGACGGCAGGAUGAAGGUCAAUCUAAAGGGUUUACCUAACGAGCCGAGAGGUAGUGCAUGGCCGUCGUCAGCUCGUGCCGUAAGGUGUCCUGUUAAGUCAGGCAACGAGCGAGACCUGCACUUACAAUUGCUAACUGGCUUUGUGACAGAGCACAUUGUGAGAACUGCCCUUGAAAAGGGGAGGAAGGUGCAGGCUACGAUAGGUCUGUAUGCUCCGAAUCUUCUGGGCUACACGCGCGCAACAAUGAUAAGGACAAUGGGAUGCAACUCCGAGAGGAGAAGCCAAUCCUCAAAACCUUAUCCUAGUCCAGAUCGAGGUUUGUAACUCAACCUCGUGACGCUGGAAUCCCUAGUAAUCAGGUGUUAUCAUCGCCUGGUGAACAUGUCCCUGCUCCUUGCACACACCGCCA